rnacentral:rRNA from 1 species
AUUGAACGCUGGCGGCAUGCCUUACACAUGCAAGUCGAACGGCAGCACGGACUUCGGUCUGGUGGCGAGUGGCGAACGGGUGAGUAAUGUAUCGGAACGUACCUUUCAGUGGGGGAUAACGUAGCGAAAGUUACGCUAAUACCGCAUAUUCUGUGAGCAGGAAAGCAGGGGAUCGCAAGACCUUGCGCUGAUUGAGCGGCCGAUAUCAGAUUAGCUAGUUGGUGGGGUAAAGGCCUACCAAGGCUACGAUCUGUAGCGGGUCUGAGAGGAUGAUCCGCCACACUGGAACUGAGACACGGUCCAGACUCCUACGGGAGGCAGCAGUGGGGAAUUUUGGACAAUGGGGGCAACCCUGAUCCAGCCAUGCCGCGUGAGUGAAGAAGGCCUUCGGGUUGUAAAGCUCUUUCGGCCGGGAAGAAAUCGCAUAGGUUAAUACCCUGUGUGGAUGACGGUACCGGAAUAAGAAGCACCGGCUAACUACGUGCCAGCAGCCGCGGUAAUACGUAGGAUGCGAGCGUUAAUCGGAAUUACUGGGCGUAAAGCGUGCGCAGGCGGUUUCGUAAGACAGAGGUGAAAUCCCCGGGCUCAACCUGGGAACUGCCUUUGUGACUGCGAAGCUAGAGUACGGCAGAGGGGGGUGGAAUUCCACGUGUAGCAGUGAAAUGCGUAGAGAUGUGGAGGAACACCGAUGGCGAAGGCAGCCCCCUGGGCCGAUACUGACGCUCAUGCACGAAAGCGUGGGUAGCAAACAGGAUUAGAUACCCUGGUAGUCCACGCCCUAAACGAUGUCAACUAGGUGUUGGGUGGGUAAAACCAUUUAGUACCGUAGCUAACGCGUGAAGUUGACCGCCUGGGGAGUACGGCCGCAAGGUUAAAACUCAAAGGAAUUGACGGGGACCCGCACAAGCGGUGGAUGAUGUGGAUUAAUUCGAUGCAACGCGAAAAACCUUACCUACCCUUGACAUGUUCAGAAUCCCGGAGAGAUUUGGGAGUGCCCGAAAGGGAGCUGGAACACAGGUGCUGCAUGGCUGUCGUCAGCUCGUGUCGUGAGAUGUUGGGUUAAGUCCCGCAACGAGCGCAACCCUUGUCGUUAAUUGCCAUCAUUUAGUUGGGCACUUUAACGAGACUGCCGGUGACAAACCGGAGGAAGGUGGGGAUGACGUCAAGUCCUCAUGGCCCUUAUGGGUAGGGCUUCACACGUCAUACAAUGGUCGGUACAGAGGGUUGCCAAGCCGCGAGGUGGAGCCAAUCCCAGAAAGCCGAUCGUAGUCCGGAUUGCAGGCUGCAACUCGCCUGCAUGAAGUCGGAAUCGCUAGUAAUCGCGGAUCAGCAUGUCGCGGUGAAUACGUUCCCGGGUCUUGUACACACCGCCCGUCACACCAUGGGAGCGGGUUCCGCCAGAAGUAGGUAGCCUAACCGCAAGGGGGGCGCUUACCACGGCGGGGUU